rnacentral:rRNA from 1 species
CCAGGUGAUCUACCCAUGUCCAGGGUGAAGUUCAGGUAACACUGAAUGGAGGCCCGAACCCACGCACGUUGAAAAGUGCGGGGAUGAGGUGUGGGUAGCGGAGAAAUUCCAAUCGAACCUGGAGAUAGCUGGUUCUCCCCGAAAUAGCUUUAGGGCUAGCCUUAAGUGUAAGAGUCUUGGAGGUAGAGCACUGAUUGAACUAGGGGUCCUCAUCGGAUUACCGAAUUCAGUCAAACUCCGAAUGCCAAUGACUUAUCCUUAGGAGUCAGACUGCGAGUGAUAAGAUCCGUAGUCAAGAGGGAAACAGCCCAGAUCGCCAGCUAAGGUCCCAAAGUGUGUAUUAAGUGGAAAAGGAUGUGGAGUUGCUUAGACAACUAGGAUGUUGGCUCAGAAGCAGCCACCAUUUAAAGAGUGCGUAAUAGCUCACUAGUCGAGUGACUCUGCGCCGAAAAUGUACCGGGGCUAAAUACACCACCGAAGCUGCGAAUUGAUACCAAUGGUAUCAGUGGUAGGGGAGCGUUCUAAGUGCAGUGAAGUCAGACCGGAAGGACUGGUGGAGCGCUUAGAAGUGAGAAUGCCGGUAUGAGUAGCGAAAGACGGGUGAGAAUCCCGUCCACCGAAUGCCUAAGGUUUCCUGAGGAAGGCUCGUCCGCUCAGGGUUAGUCAGGACCUAAGCCGAGGCCGACAGGCGUAGGCGAUGGACAACAGGUUGAUAUUCCUGUACCACCUCUUUAUCGUUUGAGCAAUGGAGGGACGCAGAAGGAUAGAAGAAGCGUGCGAUUGGUUGUGCACGUCCAAGCAGUUAGGCUGAUAAGUAGGCAAAUCCGCUUAUCGUGAAGGCUGAGCUGUGAUGGGGAAGCUCCUUAUGGAGCGAAGUCUUUGAUUCCCCGCUGCCAAGAAAAGCUUCUAGCGAGAUAAAAGGUGCCUGUACCGCAAACCGACACAGGUAGGCGAGGAGAGAAUCCUAAGGUGUGCGAGAGAACUCUGGUUAAGGAACUCGGCAAAAUGACCCCGUAACUUCGGGAGAAGGGGUGCUUUCUUAACGGAAAGCCGCAGUGAAUAGGCCCAAGCGACUGUUUAGCAAAAACACAGGUCUCUGCGAAGCCGUAAGGCGAAGUAUAGGGGCUGACACCUGCCCGGUGCUGGAAGGUUAAGGAGAGGGGUUAGCGUAAGCGAAGCUCUGAACUGAAGCCCCAGUAAACGGCGGCCGUAACUAUAACGGUCCUAAGGUAGCGAAAUUCCUUGUCGGGUAAGUUCCGACCCGCACGAAAGGUGUAACGAUUUGGGCACUGUCUCAACCAGAGACUCGGUGAAAUUAUAGUACCUGUGAAGAUGCAGGUUACCCGCGACAGGACGGAAAGACCCCGUGGAGCUUUACUGUAGCCUGAUAUUGAAUUUUGGUACAGUUUGUACAGGAUAGGCGGGAGCCAUUGAAACCGGAGCGCUAGCUUCGGUGGAGGCGCUGGUGGGAUACCGCCCUGACUGUAUUGAAAUUCUAACCUACGGGUCUUAUCGACCCGGGAGACAGUGUCAGGUGGGCAGUUUGACUGGGGCGGUCGCCUCCUAAAGUGUAACGGAGGCGCCCAAAGGUUCCCUCAGAAUGGUUGGAAAUCAUUCGUAGAGUGCAAAGGCAUAAGGGAGCUUGACUGCGAGACCUACAAGUCGAGCAGGGACGAAAGUCGGGCUUAGUGAUCCGGUGGUUCCGCAUGGAAGGGCCAUCGCUCAACGGAUAAAAGCUACCCCGGGGAUAACAGGCUUAUCUCCCCCAAGAGUCCACAUCGACGGGGAGGUUUGGCACCUCGAUGUCGGCUCAUCGCAUCCUGGGGCUGUAGUCGGUCCCAAGGGUUGGGCUGUUCGCCCAUUAAAGCGGUACGCGAGCUGGGUUCAGAACGUCGUGAGACAGUUCGGUCCCUAUCCGUCGUGGGCGCAGGAAAUUUGAGAGGAGCUGUCCUUAGUACGAGAGGACCGGGAUGGACGCACCGCUGGUGUACCAGUUGUUCUGCCAAGGGCAUAGCUGGGUAGCUAUGUGCGGAAGGGAUAAGUGCUGAAAGCAUCUAAGCAUGAAGCCCCCCUCAAGAUGAGAUUUCCCAUAGCGUAAGCUAGUAAGAUCCCUGAAAGAUGAUCAGGUUGAUAGGUUCGAGGUGGAAGCAUGGUGACAUGUGGAGCUGACGAAUACUAAUAGAUCGAGGACUUAACCAU